CGCUCAGUGUCCGCCAUGGCCCGCACGCCUCUCCUCCUCCUCCACCUCCUCCUGGCGCUCUGCACAGGUUUCGUGAGGUCUGCGCCCACUCAGCCGCCCUCGGCGUCCGUGGCCCUGGGACAGACGGCCACACUCACCUGCUCCGGGCUUAGUACUGCCUAUGGUGCAAGCUGGUAUCAGCAGAAACCUGGCCAGGUCCCGGUUCUGGUUAUAUACAAGAGUAACAAGCGACCCUCCGGGAUCCCGGACCGGUUCUCCGGCUCCGGCUCCGGGAACACGGCCACGCUGACCAUCGCCAGGGCCCAGGCCGAGGAUGAGGCUGAUUAUCACUGUCAGGAUGGUAGCGAUUAUGGUGCUCACAGUGACACAGGGUGAUGGGGAAGUGAGGCAAAAAAAACCCUUCCCCCUGCU